AGAUCUUUGAAAAGGUAAGGAGGGUUGGCAAUGGAAAGAGCUCAAAUACACAGCUGCACUACCCCAUGUCACCAUUCUAGUUUUUUUAAAGCUCCGGUCUAUGUACACCACUCUGAUUGAAAAAGACUGCGGUUGUUCGAAUUCUCUUGGAACUCAAAUUUGAUCUGUAUCAGUGAAAAAUGUAGACGUACAUUGUAUUGGCCCUGGUUGUGUGCGCACUGUGUGCCGUAGUGCAAGCUGAUAAUAAUGAAGAAGAAAGGGAACUUACGGAGAGUCUGAGAAAUCUUCUCAUGAGGUUGGAAACUCGGGAGUUGGAGCAAAAACUGGAGGAGGCAAUUGCGCCUGAGCAGA